rnacentral:rRNA from 1 species
UACAGAGGGGGCAAGCGUUGUUCGGAAUUACUGGGCGUAAAGGGCGCGUAGGCGGUCUGCUAAGUCGAACGUGAAAUCCCUGGGCUCAACCCAGGAACUGCGUCCGAUACUGGUUGGCUUGAAUCCGGGAGAGGGAUGUGGAAUUCCAGGUGUAGCGGUGAAAUGCGUAGAUAUCUGGAGGAACACCGGUGGCGAAGGCGACAUCCUGGACCGGUAUUGACGCUGAGGCGCGAAAGCCAGGGGAGCAAACGGG